rnacentral:rRNA from 1 species
GCUGGCGGCGUGCUAAUGCAUGCAAGUCGAGCGGGCUACGAUCUUCGGAUUGUAGCUUAGCGGCGAACGGGUGAGUAACACGUAGGUAAUCUACCCUUCAGAGGAGGACAACCUCAGGAAACUGAGGCUAAACCUUCAUACGUUCACUGGUAGGGAUACUGGUGAAGAAAGAGUUACCUUAGUGGUAGCUGCUGAAGGAUGAGCCUGCGGCCCAUCAGGUAGUUGGUGAGGUAACGGCUCACCAAGCCGAAGACGGGUAACCGGUCUGAGAGGAUGUCCGGUCACACUGGGACUGAGACACGGCCCAGACUCCUACGGGAGGCAGCAGCAGGGAAUCUUGGGCAAUGGGCGAAAGCCUGACCCAGCGACGCCGCGUGGAGGAAGAAGUCCUUCGGGGCGUAAACUCCUGGACUGGGGGACGAGGAAGGACGGUACCCAGUAGAAAGGGACGGCUAACUACGUGCACCAGCCGGGGGUAA